rnacentral:tRNA from 1 species
GGAUGAGAAGCGAAUUAUUGCUAUCGGUUUCGACCCGGUCUUUGGUCUUAUGGCCCUCAUUCU